AGAUUGAACGCUGGCGGCAUGCCUUACACAUGCAAGUCGAACGGUAGAGUAGCAAUACUCGAGAGUGGCGAACGGGUGAGUAAUAUAUCGGAACGUGCCCUGUCGUGGGGGAUAACGUAGAGAAAUUUACGCUAAUACCGCAUACGAUCUACGGAUGAAAGCGGGGGAUUCGCAAGAACCUCGCGCGAUUGGAGCGGCUGAUAUCAGAUUAGGUUGUUGGUGAGGUAAAAGCUCACCAAGCCGACGAUCUGUAGCUGGUUUGAGAGAACGACCAGCCACACUGGGACUGAGACACGGCCCAGACUCCGUACGGGAGCAGCAGUGGGGAAUAGUUGGACAAGUGGGGACGAAAGCCUAG
rnacentral:rRNA from 1 species